rnacentral:rRNA from 1 species
GAUGAACGCUGGCGGCGUGCCUAAUACGUGCAAGUCGAGCGAACAGACGAGGAGCUUGCUCCUCUGACGUUAGCGGCGGACGGGUGAGUAACACGUGGAUCACCUACCUAUAAGACUGGGAUAACUUCGGGAAACCGGAGCUAAUACCGGAUAAUAUAUUGAACCGCAUGGUUCAAUAGUGAAAGACGGUUUUGCUGUCUCUUAUAGAUGGAUCCGCGCCGCAUUAGCUAGUUGGUAAGGUAACGGCUUACCAAGGCAACGAUGCGUAGCCGACCUGAGAGGGUGAUCGGCCACACUGGAACUGAGACACGGUCCAGACUCCUACGGGAGGCAGCAGUAGGGAAUCUUCCGCAAUGGGCGAAAGCCUGACGGAGCAACGCCGCGUGAGUGAUGAAGGUCUUCGGAUCGUAAAACUCUGUUAUUAGGGAAGAACAAAUGUGUAAGUAACUAUGCACGUCUUGACGGUACCUAAUCAGAAAGCCACGGCUAACUACGUG